AACGAACGCUGACGGCAGGCCUAACACAUGCAAGUCGAACGCCCUAGCAAUAGGGAGUGGCAGACGGGUGAGUAACGCGUGGGAACCUUCCCUGUGGUGCGGAAUAACUCGCCGAAAGGCGUGCUAAUACCGCAUAAGCCCGAAAGGGGAAAGAUUUAUCGCCAUAGGAUGGGCCCGCGUAGGAUUAGCUAGUUGGUGAGGUAAUGGCUCACCAAGGCGACGAUCCUUAGCUGGUGAGAGAAUGACCAGCCACACUGGGACUGAGACACGGCCCAGACUCCUACGGGAGGCAGCAGUGGGGAAUCUUGGACAAUGGGCGCAAGCCUGAUCCAGCCAUGCCGCGUGAGUGACGAAGGCCUU
rnacentral:rRNA from 1 species